CAUGCAAGUCGAGGGGCAUCAGUUUGGUUUGCUUGCAAACCAAAGCUGGCGACCGGCGCACGGGUGAGUAACACGUAUCCAACCUGCCUCAUACUCGGGGAUAGCCUUUCGAAAGAAAGAUUAAUAUCCGAUAGCAUAUAUUUCCCGCAUGGGUUUUAUAUUAAAGAAAUUCGGUAUGAGAUGGGGAUGCGUUCCAUUAGUUUGUUGGCGGGGUAACGGCCCACCAAGACUACGAUGGAUAGGGGUUCUGAGAGGAAGGUCCCCCACAUUGGAACUGAGACACGGUCCAAACUCCUACGGGAGGCAGCAGUGAGGAAUAUUGGUCAAUGGACGCGAGUCUGAACCAGCCAAGUAGCGUGAAGGAUGACUGCCCUAUGGGUUGUAAACUUCUUUUAUAUGGGAAUAAAGUGGUCCACGUGUGGAUUUUUGUAUGUACCAUAUGAAUAAGGAUCGGCUAACUCCGUGCCAGCAGCCGCGGUAAUACGGAGGAUCCGAGCGUUAUCCGGAUUUAUUGGGUUUAAAGGGAGCGUAGGCGGAUUGUUAAGUCAGUUGUGAAAGUUUGCGGCUCAACCGUAAAAUUGCAGUUGAUACUGGCAGUCUUGAGUGCAGUAGAGGUGGGCGGAAUUCGUGGUGUAGCGGUGAAAUGCUUAGAUAUCACGAAGAACUCCGAUUGCGAAGGCAGCUCACUGGAGUGUAACUGACGCUGAUGCUCGAAAGUGUGGGUAUCAAACAGGAUUAGAUACCCUGGUAGUCCACACAGUAAACGAUGAAUACUCGCUGUUGCGAUAUACAGUAAGCGGCCAAGCGAAAGCAUUAAGUAUUCC
rnacentral:rRNA from 1 species